UUAACAAAAACAUGUCUUUUUGAUAAUAAUUUAAAGUCUAAUCUGCUCAAUGAAUGUUAAAUGGCCGCAGUAUUUUGACUGUGCAAAGGUAGCAUAAUAAUUAGUUUCUUGAUUGGGAAAUUGUAUGAAUGAUUGGACGAAAAAAUUUCUGUCUCAAUUUAAUUGUUUAUUGAAUUUUAUUUUUAAGUUAAAAAGCUUAAAUUUUUAUAAAAGACGAGAAGACCCUAUAGAGUUUAAUAUGGGAAAUUUAUUUGAUUAUAGAAAUUAUAUUGAUUUUUCAGUAUUUAGUUGGGGUGACUAGAAAAUUGAAUUAAUUUUUCUAAAUAAAUUGAUGAUAUUCAAAUUUUAAUUGUAAUAUUAUUAAGUUAAAAACAAAUUACCUUAGGGAUAACAGCGUAAUGUUUCUUGAGAGUUCUUAUUAAUAGAAAUUUUUGCGACCUCGAUGUUGGAUUAAAAUUAAUUUAUGGUGCAGUAGCUAUAAAAUUAGGUCUGUUCGACCUUUAAAAUUUUACAUGAUCUGAGUUUAGACCGGUGUAAGCCAGGUUGGAUUCUAUCUUUAAUGAAAUUAUUUAUUUUAGUACGAAAGGACCAAAUAAAAUUUAAAUAUUA
rnacentral:rRNA from 1 species